GCCGCCCGAAAGGACGGGUAAUACCGGAUACCCCCGGGCGCCGCAUGGCGCCCGGGCUAAAGCCCCGACGGGAGGGGAUGGCUCCGCGGCCCAUCAGGUAGACGGCGGGGUGACGGCCCACCGUGCCGACAACGGGUAGCCGGGUUGAGAGACCGACCGGCCAGAUUGGGACUGAGACACGGCCCAGACUCCUACGGGAGGCAGCAUG
rnacentral:rRNA from 1 species